rnacentral:rRNA from 1 species
AUGGUAGGAUAGAGGCCUACCAUGGUGGUAACGGGUAACGGGGUGUUAGGGCACGACACCGGAGAGGGAGCCUGAGAAACGGCUACCACAUCCAAGGAAGGCAGCAGGCGCGCAAAUUACCCAAUCCCGACACGGGGAGGUAGUGACAAUAAAUAACAAUACAGGGUUCUUUGAAUCUUGUAAUUGGAAUGAGUACAAUUUAAAUCUCUUAACGAGGAACAAUUGGAGGGCAAGUCUGGUGCCAGCAGCCGCGGUAAUUCCAGCUCCAAUAGCGUAUAUUAAAGUUGUUGCAGUUAAAAAGCUCGUAGUUGAAUUUCGGGAUCAAUACGUCGGUCGUGCUUUCGGGUACGUACUGGCGUCAUUGGUUUCUCCUUUCUGACGAACCAUGAUGUCAUUAAUUUGGUGUUAUGGGGAGUUAGGACUGUUACUUUGAAAAAAUUAGAGUGUUUAAAGCAGGCAUUAGCUUGAAUACAUUAGCAUGGAAUAAUGAAAUAGGACGUUCGAUCCUAUUUUGUUGGUUUCUAGGAUCAACGUAAUGAUUAAUAGGGAUAGUUGGGGGCAUUAGUAUUCAAUUGUCAGAGGUGAAAUUCUUGGAUUUAUUGAAGACUAACUACUGCGAAAGCAUUUGCCAAGGAUGUUUUCAUUAAUCAAGAACGAAAGUUAGGGGAUCGAAGACGAUCAGAUACCGUCGUAGUCUUAACCAUAAACUAUGCCGACUAGGGAUCGGAUGAUGUUAAUUUUUUAAUGACUCAUUCGGCGCCUUACGGGAAACCAAAGU